ensembl:miRNA Mir7008 microRNA 7008
UGCUCUGUGGGAGAUGCCAGGAGCCGUACGACUAACUGACGUGUGCUUCUUGCCUCUUCUCAG